GAGGCUUUGGCUUAAUAAAAGUGCUUGAUUUGCAAUCAGGUGAUGUAGAUUAAAGUUCUACAAGUCUU
rnacentral:tRNA from 1 species